GAUGAACGCUGGCGGCGCGCCUAACACAUGCAAGUCGAACGGAGAACAUUUAGCAAUAGAUGUUCUUAGUGGCGGACGGGUGAGUAACGCGUGAGGAACCUGCCUUUCGGAGGGGAAUAACACAUCGAAAGAUGUGCUAAUACCGCAUAACGUCAUCGGGCGGCAUCGCCUGAUGGCCAAAAGAGCAAUCUGCCGAAAGAUGGCCUCGCGUCCGAUUAGAUAGUUGGUGAGGUAACGGCCCACCAAGUCUGCGAUCGGUAGCCGGACUGAGAGGUUGAACGGCCACAUUGGGACUGAGACACGGCCCAGACUCCUACGGGAGGCAGCAGUGGGGGAUAUUAGUCAAUGGAGGAAACUCUGAACUAGCGACGCCGCGUGAGGGAAGAAGGUCUUCGGAUUGUAAACCUCUGUCUUCGGGGAAGAUUAUGACGGUACCCGAGGAGGAAGCUCCGGCUAACUACGUGCCAGCAGCCGCGGUAAU
rnacentral:rRNA from 1 species